AUCGCCGCCGUCACCGCCCCGGAUCGCCACCUUCGCCGUCGGAAUCGCUGCCAACGUCUCGUCGCCCCGGAUCGCCGCCGUCGCUGGGCCAUGGCGGUGGAGGUCGACGGCACCCGGAAGCACGGGGCAGUGGCCUUCCUGGACGACCCCUUCGAGGUGCUGCAGGCGAAGCGGGGCCGGUGCUCACCGUCCGCCACCGCGGCCUCGGUCGCCGACCUCGGCAUCAACAUGGAGUUCGACUCCGUCGAGGCGGUCCAGUCCGUCUUCCCCGGCGCCGAUCCGCAGCUUCUGCGGGGCUAUCUCGAAGCGUCCGGAAAUGUCUUGGAUGCUGCCAUCAGAAGCUUCAGGGAUUAUUUGGCAUCGGAUUCAGCAACGACCAAUGCUGGUGCCUCCUCAUCUGGAGUGGCAUCUGAUGUGCACGUGAUGAAUACUCCAGCCAACAGGACUGAAUGGGCGAAGCUAAUUGUCAAGAAGAUGUCGUCCGCUUCAGAUCCGAAUGACGCCAGGAAUCGAGUCUUCAGGAUACUUGAAAUGUUCGACAAAUGUGCCGCAAACUGCAGUACUCCUGAUGAGGCGCAUAAAAUGCGUGAGAUAAAGGGCACGACGGAUGGUGCCGGCGGGAAGGUGAGCAGCGGUGGAGAUAAGCGAGGAAAGGAGUAGUGUGAGGCGGUUGGCGGUGUUGAAGAGGAUGAGAGGGCCGCACACUCGGUGCCAUGCUACUGGAGGACCCGCUGCUGGAGGCAGUCCUAGGGAUUUUUGGAUCAAUGACAGUAACGUUGGCGACCCAGGUGAAAUUUGAAACUUCCCUUGAGAGAUGCUAAAGUACUAUCUAUUUGACAGGCUUGGUGUACAUUGACCUUACCGCCUGAAUGUUAUGAAUUAUAUUCGUGGUGGAUGAUAUGAAUGUCGGGGAGGUGAUGGAGAAGUAUGACGUGGAACUUGUGAAGGCUGAGGGCAUGGAGAAGAAGGGGAGGAUCUAAGUGGGAGGCUGACAUUGGCGAAGGAGAAGGCUAGAUGAGUGUUGGCAUUGGCAGACAACGGGUCAUUGCAGAUGGCAUUCACUGAAUUAUUCCAUGAAUUGAAGCUCCCAUAAUGAUCAAAUAAAUAAGAUAGCAAUGAGACAUAGAAUGUCGUGUUAUUAAUUAUCUUUGUCCUCAAAAAGGAUGUCGUGAUAGUAGUCGUGCUUUGCAUAUAAGUUGCUUCAACAACUAUAUUCUUGAAAUGAUGUGCCAUAGGUAGGUGAAAAAACUAAGAAAUACAAGCAUUCCUCUGUGUGUGAGAGAGAGUGCUCUACACGCUGCCUUCAUGGAUUAAACCGGUGCUCUAAUUAAAUGAUAAAUUGAGUGUACUUUUUUUUC